UCUGCUUCUAUCCUAUCGCCUUCAUUGGCCUUCAUAUUGGUUAGUUGCAGUGGUUAAAGAACGUUUGGUUCAGUAUUCAGUAGUGCUGCGACAACGAUAGCGGUAGUGUUAAUGAUGAAUGAAUAAAUCAUUUAAUAUAAGAGACAUAUUAGUUCUGUCAAUAUUUAAUAUUUUAUGUGUAUAAUUUGAAAAUAUGAAGCAUGAGGUAAAAAAGAAAUAAGUAUCGCGUAAAUUAAUAAUUUACAUUAAUCAUCAAACUGAUUUGUUGCAUUGAGGUUUUAUAUACUUAAAUGUGCUGAAUUCCUGGGAAAUAUGGAUAUGUUUGGUCUUCAUCAAUUCGUUGCAGCACCAAUAAAAAAUCUUUUUCGAUUUCAACGCAUUAAAGAAAUUAAAACUUUGCAUGCAUUGGAAAUUUUAAUUGGGCCUAUUUAAAUGAAAUGCAUUGCUAUUCUGCUUAUAAGUGGACAAAGAAGUAAUUUCAUCAAGUAAUGUUAUCUAUAGAAGAUCCAAUUUAUAUGGAUACUGAACUAUUAAAUCUUUACAAUGUUUUGGAAUAUAUGGAACGUGUAUUAUCAUCAAAUGUAGGUUGACAAUGUGCCCCGAUGUAUAUGAGAAAUACAGCAGAGAUAAAUUCAGGACAUAAAAAUGUUAAAAAAGAUUCGUAUAAACAUGCCUAAUAUGACCUUGGUUUCGACUUAAUCGUAAUACAUUAAAACAUUGUUUAACGUAUUUUCGCAUAAAAUGAUGCUUGACUUAGAUAAAAUUACAAACAUAUAAACAGGCACAUUGUAAGUAAUUGAAAAAUAAAAUAGUAAAAACGUUAAUUGAAACAAUAUGUGAAUAUUAUACAUAUACGUAUUUUUUUUCGUUGAAGGUUACGUAAAGGUCAACAUAUUCCACAUCGUUGAAUUUUUUUGGGGAGUUAUAAGACUGUUAUAAUGAAAAUAUGUAGUUUCAUUUAAA